rnacentral:rRNA from 1 species
UACAGAGGGUGCGAGCGUUAUUCGGAAUUAUUGGGCGUAAAGGGCGCGUAGGCGGCUUGACAAGUCAAAGGUGAAAUCCCUCGGCUCAACUGGAGGAACUGCCUUUGAAACUGUCAGGCUUGAGGCCGGGAGGGGUAGCGGAAUUCCCAGUGUAGCGGUGAAAUGCGUAGAUAUCUGGAGGAAUACCGGUGGCGAAGGCGGCAUCCUGGACCGGCAUUGACGCUGAUGAGCGAAAGCUAGGGGAGCAACGGG